UCUCUCGCCAGCUCUUCCGCGGCAUUCUGGGAAAUGUAUGCCGGGCCUUUUUUCCGCGUGGUUCGGGAGAGAUUCCCUGGCAGUUUUAAUAAGAUCUGCCAUACCUGAGGACCUGCCUAGUGAUAUUGUGAUGGUGCUGGAAUAGGGCAAAGUACAAGAAUCUACAUUAAUUGGAACUGGAAAACCUUGCAGUUCAUCAAAGAAAGUAAGGAAGCAAGCGUGAGCCACAUCACAAUCUGACUGUGACAAGUAAUUUGAUGUCACUUUGAGAAGCUCUUUACUAAAGUGAUAUAGACAGAGUCAAAGUCUGUCUGAUUUAGAAUACCACAUUUCUCCACAUUAAUUGCAGAAUUUGAUUAAUUACUGAUUAUAUUCAGAAGCAAUAACAUUACUGAAACUCUUGAUUUAAUAGCUAAGAUG